ensembl:lncRNA
GCAUGAUGAAAUCUGUAAAUCUAUUUUUAAUGUCUUAAUGCUGCUCUAGUUGAACGAGGCAAGGUGACUGCUGCAUGGCAUUUGCUUUACACUUUUUUGGAUUCUCAUGCACUCAUUAAAUAUUCACUCUGCAGCCUUUGCAUUUCCAGUACUGCAGGACCCUAAAAUAGAAUACAAGUUUUUCUUUCCCUCUUUUGUUUCUGAAAUUCCAACUUGACUCUGGGAUCUCCCCAAAUCAAAUGUGAAGCACUAAACACUGCAAGGAGAAAAUGUUUCAAAUUAAUAGAGAUGCCAGGAAAUAGGAUUUAAAUCCUAAACAUGCAGCCAUUUGCACUGUUUUUAGGAGGUGACAGAGCAAAAUGUUUGAUUUCAUUUCAAAUUAAAACAUAUGCAAUGUUAAUUCUCUGAGUAGCAUGUUUUUAUUAAGAAAAUAUUUGAACAUCGCUGGAACAACUCUCCCAAAUCAUCAUCUCACAGAACAUUUCUUGAGGGAGUAGUUUGUGCUUUUCAUUCUGAUCUGGGAUGGAAACAAGCUCUGAAAGACUGGAAUUUUCUGUGUAACAAACUUUAUUUUCUGACCCACUCGCUUUGAAAAAUCAGUGUACGAAGCAGUGACAUAAAUCCUGCUGUUGUCACUUGGGUGUUGUGCCACGGAAAGCCGGGCUCUGCCUCUCCCUGCUUUAGCACAUUAAAACUCCUCGGUGUGUCUGCAAACAUCGAUGAUGGAGAGAGCAGGGAAGGGAGGCAGCGCCGAGGAUUUCUCCCGAAAAACCCGAUUUUCCCAGCAGAGGACACAGAGCGGCUCCUGGUGCCACAUCACCGGCGCCGCGGGGAGGUGGCACAGGGGAGGUGGCACAGGGGAGGUGGCACAGGGGAGGUGGCACAGGGGAGGUGGCACAGGGGAGGUGGCACAAGGGAGGUGGCACUGCCCAAGGUGUUCCCUUCCACAGCCCGGCCAGGCUGGAGCACUGCAGGCAGCCAAGGUUCCUUUGGAAGGGCUGGGCUUCGGAGGGGCCCGCUGGGGUGUGCUGGCUCUGUCCCCUCCCUGUUCCCCCCGUCCCCUCUGUCCCCCCAGCUCCUCCUGUCCCUCCUGUCCCCCCUCUAUCCCCUCUCUGUCCCCCUGUCCCUUUCUGUCCCUGUUCCUCCAUCCCCUCUCUGUCCCCCUGUCCCUCUCUGUCCCUCUGUCUCUCUGUCCCUCUAUCCCUCUCUGUCCCUCUGUCCCUCUCUAUCCCCUCUCUGUCCCCCGGUCCCUCUGUCAGUCCCUGUCCCCCUGUCCAUCCCUGUCCCUCUGUCCCCCUGUCCCUCUGUCCAUCCCUGUCCCUCUGUCCGUCCCUGUCCAUCCCUGUCCCUCUGUCUCCCUCUCUGUCCGUCCCUGUCCCUCUGUCUCCCUCUCUGUCCGUCCCUGUCCAUCCCUGUCCGUCCCUGUCCCCCUGUCCAUCCCUGUCCGUCCCUGUCCCCCUGUCUCCCUGUCCCUCUGUCCGUCCCUGUCCCCCUGUCCGUCCCUGUCCCUUUGUCCGUCCCUGUCCAUCCCUGUCCGUCCCUGUUCCCCUGUCCAUCCCUGUCCCUCUGUCCGUCCCUGUCCCUCUGUCUCCCUCUCUGUCCGUCCCUGUCCAUCCCUGUCCGUCCCUGUCCCCCUGUCUCCCUGUCCCUCUGUCCGUCCCUGUCCAUCCCUGUCCGUCCCUGUCCCUCUCUGUCCCUCUGUCUCCCUCUCUGUCCCCCUGUCCGUCCCUGUCCCUCUGUCCGUCCCGGUCCCACCGCGGGGCGCUCCCGGCGCUGCCGUGCCCGCGCCGCUGCCGCCCCCUCGUGGCCGCCGGUGGAAGCGCAGCCCGGCCUCAUCCCGCGCGCCGAUUUUGGCUCCAAAUUCUUUAAAUAAAACAAAACAAAACCAACAACAACAAAAAAAUCUACAAGAUGCUCAAUCCAGCCCCGCGGCCCGCGCCCCGGAGGCCCCGGCCCAGCCAUUCCCUUCGGGAUGGAUGCAUCCCGCUGCGGAUCCCGCAUUCCCCGGGAUGCAUCCCCAGCGGAAUCCCGGGAACCUCCCUCAUUCGCAGGUGCUCGUUCGCAGGAGCUGGGGGACAAGGCGUGUGCGGCACUGA